rnacentral:rRNA from 1 species
AACGAACGCUGGCGGCAUGCCUAACACAUGCAAGUCGAACGAGACCUUCGGGUCUAGUGGCGCACGGGUGCGUAACGCGUGGGAACCUGCCCUUAGGUUCGGCAUAACUCCCCGAAAGGGGUGCUAAUACCGGAUAAUGUCUUCGGACCAAAGAUUUAUCGCCUUUGGAUGGGCCCGCGUUGGAUUAGCUAGUUGUUAGGGUAAAAGCCUACCAAGGCGACGAUCCAUAGCUGGUCUGAGAGGAUGAUCAGCCACACUGGGACUGAGAAGCGGCCGAGACUCCUACGGGAGGCAGCAGUGGGGAAUAUUGGAAAAUGGGCGGAGGGCUGAUCGAGCACGGACGCGAGAGUGAUGAAGGCCGUAGGGUUGUAAAGCUCUUUUACCCGGGAUGAUAAUGACGGUACCGGGAGAAUAAGCUCCGGCUAACUCCGUG